rnacentral:rRNA from 1 species
GAUGAACGCUGGCGGCGUGCCUAAUACAUGCAAGUCGAGCGAACAGACGAGGAGCUUGCUCCUCUGACGUUAGCGGCGGACGGGUGAGUAACACGUGGAUAACCUACCUAUAAGACUGGGAUAACUUCGGGAAACCGGAGCUAAUACCGGAUAAUAUAUUGAACCGCAUGGUUCAAUAGUGAAAGACGGUUUUGCUUUCACUUAUAGAUGGAUCCGCGCCGCAUUAGCUAGUUGGUAAGGUAACGGCUUACCAAGGCAACGAUGCGUAGCCGACCUGAGAGGGUGAUCGGCCACACUGGAACUGAGACACGGUCCAGACUCCUACGGGAGGCAGCAGUAGGGAAUCUUCCGAAAUGGGCGAAAGCUUGACGGAGCAACGCCGCGUGAGUGAUGAAGGUCUUCGGAUCGUAAAACUCUGUUAUUAGGGAAGAACAAAUGUGUAAGUAACUAUGCACGUCUUGACGGUACCUAAUCAGAAAGCCACGGCUAACUACGUG